UACGGAGGAGGCAAGCGUUAUCCGGAAUUAUUGGGCGUAAAGCGUCCGCAGGUGGCACUUCAAGUCUGCUGUCAAAGACCGGGGCUUAACCCCAGAAAGGCAGUGGAAACUGAAGUGCUAGAGUGCAGUAGGGGUAGAGGGAAUUCCCGGUGUAGCGGUGAAAUGCGUAGAGAUCGGGAAGAACAUCGGUGGCGAAAGCGCUCUGCUGGACUGCAACUGACACUCAGGGACGAAAGCUAGGGGAGCGAACAGG
rnacentral:rRNA from 1 species